GCCCAGGUGGCGGAAUUGGUAUACGCGCAUGGUUGAGGGCCAUGGGGUUUUUAACCCGUGCGGGUUCAAGUCCCGCCCUGGGCACCA
rnacentral:tRNA from 1 species